GUAGGUGGCAAGCGUUGUCCGGAAUUAUUGGGCGUAAAGCGCGCGCAGGCGGUCCUUUAAGUCUGAUGUGAAAGCCCACGGCUCAACCGUGGAGGGUCAUUGGAAACUGGGGGACUUGAGUACAGAAGAGGAAAGCGGAAUUCCAAGUGUAGCGGUGAAAUGCGUAGAGAUUUGGAGGAACACCAGUGGCGAAGGCGGCUUUCCGGUCUGUAACUGACGCUGAGGCGCGAAAGCGUGGGGAGCAAGCAGGAUUAGAUACCCUGGUAGUCCACGCCGUAAACGAUGAGUGCUAAGUGUUAGGGGGUUUCCCGCCCCCCUUAGUGCUGCAGCUAACGCAUUAAGCACUCCGCCUGGGGAGUACGGCCGCAAGGCUG
rnacentral:rRNA from 1 species